GCAUCCUCUACAAACAUCCGGAGGGGACUUCACUGCCUGGAGACCAAAGCCUAAACUGUUACCAGUGACAUUGUGUAGCUCAUGCCCCAGCAGCCUGAGUUCCAGCAAGGCUAUCUAGAUGUUCAAUCUAUUUAACUCCGUGAGUACGUCAUUCUAGUUAACUGAGCAUCUACUUUGGAUAAGGCACCAUGGAGGUUCAGAGGGAAGAGCUAUAUCUGGUUUGGUAAACACUUCAAGGCUGACACACGUUCGGGAUGUGCGAUGAUGCAAAAGUAAGGACUCCAUUCUGAACAACUGGUUUCAAGCUAUCAACGUGAAGGCACGGAAAACAGAGCUGGGAAGAGGUGUGCACACUUGGGCCCCACAAGGUAGAAGGUAGGGAAGGUGAA